rnacentral:rRNA from 1 species
GACAGAGGUGCCGAGCGUUAGGCGGAAUCACUGGGCUUAAAGCGUGUGUAGGCGGAUCGUUAAGUACCUUGUGAAAUCCCACGGCUCAACCGUGGAACUGCUGGGUAUACUGGCGGUCUUGAGCCACCUAGGGGCGAGCGGAACAAGCGGUGGAGCGGUGAAAUGCGUAGAUAUCGCUUGGAACGCCAACGGUGAAAACAGCUCGCUGGGGGUGUGCUGACGCUGAGACACGAAAGCUAGGGGAGCAAAUGGG